rnacentral:tRNA from 1 species
GGCCUCGUAGCUCAACUGAAUAGAGCAUCUGACUACGGAUCAGAAGGUUGUGGGUUUGAAUCCCGCCGGGGUCA